rnacentral:rRNA from 1 species
GCGAAUCGCCCUUCGGGGUGCACCAGGCGCGAAAACUUUACAAUGCGGGAAACCGUGAUAAGGGGACACCGAGUGCCAGCAUCAUAUGCUGGCUGUCCAGGUGUGUAAAAUACACCUGUUAGCAAGGGCCGGGCAAGACCGGUGCCAGCCGCCGCGGUAACACCGGCGGCCCGAGUGGUGAUCGUGAUUAUUGGGUCUAAAGGGUCCGUAGCCGGUUUGGUCAGUCCUCCGGGAAAUCUGACGGCUCAACCGUUAGGCUUUCGGGGGAUACUGCCAGGCUUGGAACCGGGAGAGGUAAGAGGUACUACAGGGGUAGGAGUGAAAUCUUGUAAUCCCUGUGAGACCACCUGUGGCGAAGGCGUCUUACCAGAACGGGUUCGACGGUGAGGGACGAAAGCUGGGGGCACGAACCGGAUUAGAUACCCGGGUAGUCCCAGCCGUAAACGAUGCUCGCUAGGUGUCAGGCAUGGCGCGACCGUGUCUGGUGCCGCAGGGAAGCCGUGAAGCGAGCCACCUGGGAAGUACGGCCGCAAGGCUGAAACUUAAAGGAAUUGGCGGGGGAGCAC